rnacentral:misc_RNA from 1 species
UGCGGAGGAUCAUUACCGAAUUGUCAACACGAGUUGUUGCUGGUCCUCAAACGGGGGCAUGUGCACGCUCUGUUUGCACAUCCACUCACACCUGUGCACCCUCCGUANUUCUGCANCAUGGGGGUUCUGUCCCCUUUGCCGUGGUUCUAUGUAUUUACACACACACACUGUG